UGUAGGCACUUGUUUGUCAAAUUCUAGGAUGGUAAAACUUUAACAAGAUCUUGGGAAGUUCAUAAAAAGGACAGAAUGUAAAUUUUUGUUUGCUUAUUAGCUGUGGGAACCUGAGCAAUGGAAAAGAAGGGUUUGAAAAGCAUCUGCUGAAGUUUUUCAGCUUGGUCGUAUGGGAACUCUUAUCCAGUGGAGUGCACAAAAGCCUGGAAAUACCUGGAAAUGCAUACCUGUUGCUACUGAAAGUUCAGCUGUUCUUGUCAGGUUCUGAGUUCUAUCAACUAAAAUGUGGACAUCAAAGAGAAGACUGAGAGGAGAACUCAUUGCAGUCUACAACUUCCUCAGAUCAAGGGGAAGUGGAGGGGAAGCACCAAUCUCUUGACUCUGGUGAUUGGUGAGAGGACCUGAGGGAACGGAGUGAAGCUGUGUCAAGGGAAGGUUUAGGCUGGAUAUUAGAAAGUUGUCUUUUCCCUGAAGCUGUGCUUCCAUGAUUCUAAUCCUUUACAAUACAAUACAGCAGUUUGAAUUGAAUUUUUGUUACUGUACAAUGUGUGUACAAUGCAUGUACAAAAAAAACUACAAAGGAAAAUGUUCUGUUCUGAUGAGACAAAGGAUUAGGAAUUUGAGAGCUAAUAAUUCAUAUUACAUACUAGAAUCCAAGCUGAAACAGUGAAAGAGUGCCAUGUACAAUAUUUUUACUGUUAAAGUUUUUUUAAGGAUUUUACCCGCUGAUGAUGUAAGUUAAGUCACUAAUAACAGUGUGGCUUAUUCAGUUAAUCUAUUGUCAGAUUUAGGAGUUACAAUAAACUAUCCCAGACUAUCAGUAGAGUGAAAAUAAGGGAAAUCUUAGAACAAGUGGGAUUUCAAAUUGUAUCACACCAUUGUAUUAUGUAUGGUUCCAAAAGGUUGAAAAUGUCUUGCAAACUUCUCUGAAAAAUCUAGCUCUAAAGAAUAGAUUGUUUUCCGUUGGUCAUGUAUCUCUACUUGUCUAUGUUAGAGGAUUCCAGACACAUGCUUUCAAUGUUUCUCCCUGAAAUCUAGGAUAAAACAAUGAGUCCCUUUGCACAGCAUCUAACAGUCUCACAGAAACCUGCUGCCCUAAAUUAUGUAUCUAUUUCUUAGUUUAAGGAAGCUUAAGUGAGAUUAUGGGGAAAUUUGUGAAUGGUGGUGUGAAGAGGAAUAGCAAAACCUUCUAAUAUGUGAGUAUACAGGACUUAAAAGAAAAGGGGUUAUUUCUCUUUUAGUUUGUUCAGUAGUAAUUUUCUAAUUUUCCGUUGUGUUUGAAGGAUUGAAAUUCUCAAGUAAUUCCCUUCCAACCCAGGCCAUUCUGUGAUACUGUGAAUUUCUAGAAUGUGCCCUCUGAGGGGCAGCAUUGAAAAGCAAGUUUCUGUAAACAGCUACUUCUAGUCAUACUAUAGAUUAGGUGUAAGGAAGGGAUUAAAAAAUUAGAGUUUAUUUUCUGUUGUCUGGAAUAACUGGUUUUCAAAGGUAACUCAUAUGUUUAAGAGUAUUAAUGCCAAUCUGUCAAAAACCCUGUAGCAAGCAUGUUUCAGUUUAAGAGAUAAAACCAUCAGAAUUC